UACGGAGGGGGGCGAGCGUUUAUUCGGAAUUACUGGGCGUAAAGCGUGCGCAGGCGGUUUUGUAAGCCAGAUGUGAAAGCCCCCGGGCUUAACCUGGGAAUGGCAUUUGGGACUGCAAGGCUUGAGUGCGGCAGAGGAGACUGGAAUUCCUGGUGUAGCAGUGAAAUGCGUAGAUAUCAGGAGGAAUACCGAUGGCGGAAGGCAGGUCUCUGGGCUGACACUGACGCUCAUGCACGAAAGCGUGGGGGAGCAA
rnacentral:rRNA from 1 species